rnacentral:lncRNA from 1 species
AAUUGUUCAGGUUUCAAGGAGCUGAACUCUGUGAGGUUUUGAAGGUGAUAGGGCAUGGUUAUUGGUGACCUUGAGAGACAGAAAAAUUCAGAAGAGCAUAAAAGAAAGUAGAUAACCACCUCUUCAGCUCACUCUUCCCAAGAUUCAGUGACCAUGGAAGCACUUACUGAUGUGGAGGUGCUCAUCAGUAACACUCAAUGGAAGCAGCCUAGA